GCCGGGAUAGCUCAGCUGGCAGAGCAGCUGUUUUGUAAACAGCAGGUCGUGGGUUCGUGUCCCACUCCCGGCU
rnacentral:tRNA from 1 species